GCCAGCAUGACAUAGUGGUUUGAGUGCUGGACUAUGACUCUGGAGAUCAGGGUUCAGUUCCCUGCUGGAG